AGUUGGUGCUGCCCUGGUACGACAUUUGGAACAAAGAACAAGGAACAACAAAGCCACAAGCACAAAGUACAAGAGACAUUUCUGUUUACAGGAACUAUUCCUUAUAAGAUGUAAAACCGUCUUCAUUUAGAACAGUUCCCGUUAUAGACCAGUGCAAUCUCAAUUGUCGAUUGGACCAGCAGGCUGUGAGUGUCCUAACACAGCACAAGGCAGAAAAAUAAAGGAGCUGGAAGAGCUGGUGACCAGAAUAUGGAGGGUCCGAAAGAAUCCUGCCUGCUCUGGACCGAGUUUGCGUUUUGUGCAAGUUCUCAGUAGUGGGUAGCGUGGUCUUGACGAUCCAUUCAGCAGUUUUGAUUAUUCAUUGCAGUCUGAGUUUCUCCUUUUUUGUGGCAGCCCCAAACACAACUGUCAUUGAGGUACACAGUACAGAUUGGAUGACCGUUGUAGAACUGCCUCAUUUUUUUUUUUUUUUUUUUUCCAGGGAUUCUAGUUUCCUCCCAAAUCCCCAAAAUAUGUAUCGUUGGUUAACUGAAAACUAUAAAUAGCCCAUACAGUAGGUGUGAAUGCAAGUGCAAAGGAAUGGGCUUAUAGGUCCACUGUGAUUGGGUGGCAACCAGCUCAGGGUGUACCCCACCUCUCGCUCAAAGUCAGCUAAGAUUGGCUCCAGCUUGCCUGUGACCCUAGCAAGGAUAAAAGAGAAGAAAACUGGAUGGACGGACAGAUGGAUAGAUGGACGGUCCAUGUGAGCAAAGGUUAAACCACAUUUUGUGCCUUUAUCGUUGUUCUUGGUAAAAUUACUUUAACUCUCCAGUGACCCUUGUGAGUUUAAGCGCAAUGGAUGGAUGCAUGGUGUCAUUGAUAUUUUAUACAUGAUAUAAAUGUAUAUUAUUCUAUUGUUAAUAUCGUACAGUGAAUUGCACCCUUUCCUUUGUCACUUUAACUUCCAUUUCUGGACCUAUGGUUGUCAUCACACUUUUUGUCUUUAGUAUUGUG